rnacentral:rRNA from 1 species
CCUACGGGUGGCAGCAGUGGGGAAUAUUGGGCAAUGGAGGAAACUCUGACCCAGCAACGCCGCGUGAAUGAUGAAGGUCUUCGGAUUGUAAAGUUCUUUUCUAAGGGAAGAAGAAAGUGACGGUACCUUAGGAAUAAGCCUCGGCUAACUACGUGCCAGCAGCCGCGGUAAUACGUAGGAGGCAAGCGUUAUCCGGAAUGACUGGGCGUAAAGGGUGCGUAGGUGGUUUGACAAGUUGGUAGCGUAACUCCGGGGCUCAACCCCGUCGUGCCGUUGAAACUGGCUGUCUUGAGAUGUCGAGAGGUAUGCGGAAUGCGCAGUGGAGCGGUGAAAUGCUUAGAUAUUGCGCAGAACUCCGAUUGCGAAGGCAGCAUACCGGCGGCGAUCUGACGCUGAGGCACGAAAGCGUGGGUAUCGAACAGGAUUAGAUACCCGGGUAGUC